rnacentral:lncRNA from 1 species
CGCGCCAGUUAUGUGCAGGUGCAAAGUGAUUAAGCUGACCUUUCCGCUAGCAUCUUACCUGCAUUGCUCUGUAGAAUCUAAAGUUCUUAAAUGUAACGUGAACAAGUAAUAUUACUAAAAGAAGCGUACAUAUCAACCCCGACGUCCCGAGUCAUUACUUUGAAGACAGUUAUUCUAAAAGUAAUUGCUCUUUUGACCAAUCAGAUAUGCUCUGAAAAAGAGCUGAUGCGAAAAUAUCUAACGUGAUAAUUUCCCAUCAUUAUUCAACAGGCUAAUGGGUCUCCAGUUGUCUAUAUAAAGAGUAUCCUUAUUAAGUUUGGGAAUCAAAGUAAUUACACCUUGUUUUAAGGAAGCCGGUAACUCCCCUUUUUCUAUUGAUUCGUGAAACAUAGCAAGAAUGAAAGGAAUCAAUUUAUCAUUGAAUGCUUUAUAAAACUCGCUUAUUAAACCAUCAUUUCCAGGGGACCUAUUGUCCUUAAGGCUUUUAAUACAGUCUUUUAUCUCAAUUUCAGAUAACUCAUCAUCACAAAAAUCCCUGAAAUCAUUAUCUAUUUUAGAAAUGUUUGCAACACGUCAUGCUCUUAUCAACUGAGCUACGAAGGAGCACGUCGACGUCACUAGAAUGAUGACAAGCCAUUUUAAGGGAUUCUAAAGGGAAUCAGAAUUCCAAACUAAUUUCUAUGGCAACACAGUUGUCAAUUUUGUAAACAAUCAUUUUCGAACCGACGUUCUAUGGAACGAUUUCUGUGCGAAAACAACAACUUUGCUGCUGACAACAAACCUGUUUGAUUUUUGAGACCUGAGAAAAUGCCUGGGUGCUUUUCAAGACUGGCGGAGAGAGUGCGUGGACGUCGGCGGCCUACUGCGUCGACAGGUUGUUCAAAUUCAUUUGUGGCUUGUUUUUCUUGUCUUUUUCUGUUUUGCAGGGUUCGUGAUCGUCGACAGGUGGACAGCGACUUCGAAGAGGAAACAACUGUCCUGGAUGAGGUCCAGUUGGAUGUGCCAUUGGAUGAUGUGCCAGAUGUUCCACAGCUGCCAGUCCUCCUUGAUGUCCAGAAUGCUGCUAUCAUCCUUGAGGAUGUGCCAGAUGUGCAGACUAUCCUUGAGGAGGCCACUGUUAUUUGGCAGUUGAUUCUGAUUAGGUUCAGCCCCCAGUACUGUGGGCCUGUUGUGAUCAGGAACAAUGCCGGUCCGGUGGUUAAAGCUUGGAGAACUUUCCAGUUCAUCAGCCCCAUCAUCACCUACAUGCGUGGGGGAUCCCAGCAGGUGGUGGUGAGGAUGCACCACGUGAGUAGGGUGAGAGGCCUGGAGACUCAACUGGUGUGGGCCAUCUCCAAGGAGACAGCCAGGCUUAGUCCAGAGGGCAUCCCCUACUGUGCCACCAAAGUGCAGUCCAUCACUUGGAUCCAGGUAAGACGUAAAUACUACUGAAACAGUAGUAGAUUAGGCUUUUCUUCACUUAUUCCAUUUGGCCUUAACAUGUAUUCUCUCUCUGUCAGCGUGUGGCUGGCAGGGUGACCCACUAUGCGUCUCACCUCCGCCACGAGACGUCUGUGGACGUGACGCUUGGCUGCAACCAGGUAAAUAAACGAUUUCCUAUGUAUAUAGACUAGACAUUACUGGGCAUUUUUGCAUUAGAUUUGGUGUGUUAUCUAAUAACGUGUGUGUGUGGUAAACAGGUGUGUUGUGUGUGUUUUGAGCAGCAGACUGAUGUCUCAGUGGUGUACGCCACUCUCCACAUGGGGCUGGACGGGCUUCUCUCCUCUUCAGCGUGGUCGGAGGCUGCCUCCUUCUCUACUCCCACCACUCAGCAGUUCACUGACCCAGAGCCUGAGGGCCACAACUGCUAUGAGGUCAGACGUUACACACACAUACUAUUGACUAGGAGCAUUAAGAUCCUUCCAUUGACCGAUUGUUUGUUAUGUCAUUGCACUGGUCACUGAUUUUGAAUGCUUGUUUUGUUGUCGUAGGGCUGGGAGGAGGACCUGCUGCCUGAGGAGAGGGAGGUUCCUCUGCUAAAGUGAGUUCCUCUAAAUGUCUGUGUAGUCUGAGCUUGUCAGAUGCUGAAGGAUUGUGGUCAUAAUGCUGUUAUCCCCCAUUGACUCUAAUGGUUGACAUGCUCCAUUCCCUCCCUUUCACAGCCUCUACCUUACCACCAAGAGAGUGGAGGACAUCGCCCUGAGGCUCGUCUCCUUGCGCCAGGCCUUCACUGUGAGUGGACCCACUGUUCUUUUUGUCUCUGUGACUUCUUGUUCUCCAAGAGGAAGAUGUCUCACCCUAACUCUUCCCUCUUCCCUAGACCCUGCUUGGUUCCACCCUGAGCAGGAACCAUCUGUUUGUGGCGGGAAAGGUCCUCCUGGGCGCCCUUGUUCAGGCCAACCACAUGGUAACUCACUAACUCAUUCUCUUUCAAGGGAAAGAGAGCAUCCCUGAGGGGAAUGUGUUCUGUUCACUAAGAUGCUCUUUUCUUUGUCAUAGGACGAGGCCAAAUUCAUCCGUACCUAUAACAACUUUGUGGACUACCUGAGUGACCCCUCCAAGCGGAAUGACAUUGAGAGGGAGCUGGCUGAGGCAAAGGUGAGUUCAUUAACUCUUUCAAGUCUCACUGAGUUCUUCCACAUGCAUGUCUUUAUACAUCACAGUAGCUGAUCUAUAUGAAAUCAUUCCUAUUUUCUCCAAAUGUGUUUUCUUGUCCUAGAUCCAUCAUGUGAACAUGAUAGAUGUCCUCUUUGAGCUGGUGCUGUUUGGGUUGAUGACAGCUCAGAAGUCCCUGAUGGUGGUAAGUAGCAUCUCACUGGUACAUGUUUUGAUAUCGCUCUAUUAGCAGUUUCACUUAAAUUCCUCUUCUCUUCUCUCCUCUUUUCUCCUCCUUUGUUUCCUUUAGCACCCUGGUGGGUUCGUGGAGCGUCUGUACGCUCUCCUGUACUCCUUCCUGCCCACUGCUGCCAACAUGGAGUCAGAGGCUGAUAGAUACCUGCUGCUGCUCAAUGUAAGAGUCAAGAGGUUACUUCCUGUUUACUUCCAUAUUCUUAGUGUACUUCCUGUUUACUUCCAUAUUCAUGGUUAACCAGGUUCCAAUGCCAUUUUAGGGGGAGUAUUUCUAAUGGUCUCUCUCCUCUUGAUAAGCUAGUAACUCAGAGCCAUUUUCUAUGUGUUGUGUGGUGUUCUCUUCAGGGCGGACUGAUGGCUCUGCUAGAUGACAUGUUUGGCCAGCAGCUGGCCUGGUACUUUAACCCAGAGUCUCUGGUCACUGAGCUCUCCAGCCUCCUGGAGUACCACUUGGAGAACCUCAUGGCCAGCAUGUAGUCCUACUGCAGGGACCAUACUCCUUUCUCCUUCUCUCUCUCUUUUGAAGGAAUUGAGGACUUGAAGUGCUUUGUUGAACUCUGAUUAGUUAACACCCAUUAAUGUAAUGUAUUCUCUUGUUUUCUCUCCCCACAGGAUUAUUGUGACACUUUGCCACCCAACAGGGAUCUAGACACCAAUGCACUACAUUACUUUGCACUGAAUUUGACAUUUUA